rnacentral:misc_RNA from 1 species
GAACGCACCUUGCGCCCUCUGGUAUUCCGGAGGGCAUGCCUGUUUGAGUGUCAUGAAGACUCAUCCCUUCGGGUUUCCGAUUGGAUGGAUUUGGGCGCCUGCCAUCUUGUUUGGCUCGCCUUAAAAGCAUAAGUGGUUGUAUAGGACGUAAUAAGUUUCGCCCUCUGACUGCUCAUAACCCCAACCUAAGAGACAUCUCGGUGUCUCGAAGGCCAUCUUUAAUCUGACCUCAAAUCAGGUAGGGCUACCCGCUGAACUUAAG